AGUGAACGCUGGCGGUAGGCCUAACACAUGCAAGUCGAACGGCAGCACAGUAAGAGCUUGCUCUUACGGGUGGCGAGUGGCGGACGGGUGAGGAAUACAUCGGAAUCUACUUUUUCGUGGGGGAUAACGUAGGGAAACUUACGCUAAUACCGCAUACGACCUACGGGUGAAAGCAGGGGAUCUUCGGACCUUGCGCGAUUGAAUGAGCCGAUGUCGGAUUAGCUAGUUGGCGGGGUAAAGGCCCACCAAGGCGACGAUCCGUAGCUGGUCUGAGAGGAUGAUCAGCCACCCUGGAACUGAGACACGGUCCAGACUCCUACGGGAGGCAGCAGUGGGUAAUAUUGGACAAUGGGCGCAAGCCUGAUCCAGCCAUACCGCGUGGGUGAAGAAGGCCUUCGGGUUGUAAAGCCCUUUUGUUGGGAAAGAAAAGCAGCAGGUUAAUACCCCGCUGUUCUGACGGUACCCAAAGAAUAAGCACCGGCUAACUUCGUG
rnacentral:rRNA from 1 species